UGAACGCUGGCGGCAUGCCUUACACAUGCAAGUCGAACGGCAGCACGGGUGCUUGCACCUGGUGGCGAGUGGCGGAACGGGUGAGUAAUACAUCGGAACGUACCCUGUUGUGGGGGAUAACUAGUCGAAAGAUUAGCUAAUACCGCAUACGACCUGAGGGUGAAAGUGGGGGACCGCAAGGCCUCACGCAGCAGGAGCGGCCGAUGUCUGAUUAGCUAGUUGGUGGGGUAAAGGCCCACCAAGGCGACGAUCAGUAGCUGGUCUGAGAGGACGAUCAGCCACACUGGGACUGAGACACGGCCCAGACUCCUACGGGAGGCAGCAGUGGGGAAUUUUGGACAAUGGGGGCAACCCUGAUCCAGCAAUGCCGCGUGUGUGAAG
rnacentral:rRNA from 1 species